rnacentral:rRNA from 1 species
UACAGAGGUCUCGAGCGUUGGGCGGAAUCACUGGGCUUAAAGCGUGUGUAGGUGGAUCGGUAAGUACCUUGUGAAAUCCCACGGCUUAACCGUGGAACUGCUUGGUAUACUGCCAGUCUUGAGCCAGCUAGGGGCUACCGGAACAAAUGGUGGAGCGGUGAAAUGCGUAGAUAUCAUUUGGAACGCCAAUGGUGAAAACAGGUAGCUGGGGCUGUGCUGACACUGAGACACGAAAGCCAGGGGAGCAAACGGG